GGAGUCUGUUCAGCGUUUUGCGGUUUUUUUUCUUUCUGUUUUUUUUUUUUUUUUCCUUCAGUAGUUUUAAUUGGUACUUUGGGCCGAAAGGCUGGGCCUCACCGAGAAAGGAAACUGAGGCUAAGGUGAGCAAGCCUUAUGGACCGCGGGGUUGUCGUCCGGCCGAGUUUGGCAAAAGACCUCUGCUGAACAGACACUCUCUGCGUAGGAUCAUCAUGCCGAGCAUAAACUGGACUUUCCCACUUGCCUGGCAGGAGUGAGACAGAUCACUGUGUGCUAUAUGAGCAUCUGAGGAAGCAGGAGGCUACUAUGAGCCGACUGGAGUUGGUCCACUUCCUGUUGUCCUGUUCAUGGAAUGCCCUUUGAAAAGGAGCAGCUAGACCCUGAUGAGUUGGAAACCAUCACAGUGCACAAAAUCCUGGAGACUACACCUUCUUUCAAAGAGCAGUGUACUUGAUGUCCUUGGAGUGUGCACCCCUGUGGAAUCCAGUUCAUCUCCAAUCUGUCAGAAAGCAUCAGAGGUGGUUUUGAGUCCUUAUGUCCUAAGCCUGUGAACAAAAUGUGUAAACUUCAUGGGACAUCAGACUGCUCAUUAUAGAGACAAGGGUGCUCCAUUCCCAAAGUUGGAUGACCAAACAAGUCAUGGUGCAUAUUGUAAUUUCAGUGCUACUGUACAUCUUCAAGCCAUCUGGGACCUUGUGUGGAAGAAAAUGAGAUCCCGAGUGAAGUCUACAAUGUCAUUGACUCUGAAGAAGGACUCAGAGACCCAUUGGUGUUUAAUGACCCUUACUGGCCUAUGCAGUGGGAACUGGUGUUGAUCUCAAGGGGACUCUAACAAAACAUCCAGUAUUCUAAAUACUAGAACUGAGUCUACGUCUAUGGGAAGACAUCCUGUGACAGACCUCAUAGGAGUUUCCGGAGUCUAAUCUGGGGAGAGGAACAUCCAGGCAAGAGUGUUUUUGCAGAGCAGAAAUUUUUAAUGUUAAUGAAGUCCAGCUUGUCAAUUCUUUCUUCCAUGGAUCAAGCCUUUGGUGUUACACGAACAUCAUACCCAUAAGAUGUGAAGAGCUUGUAAAAGAUAUCACUGGAUGCAGUAUUUUCCACACAGGUCCAGGAGCAGCUCCUCCAUGUUUCCAUGAGCCUUUCUUCCUGAGCAAAAGAUUAAAAAGAGGGAGGCUCAACUUUCCUGCAUAAUUAAGAAUUUGCAGCUUGGUAAUGCCAAGAACCACACCUGCACUGAAAUCAAUUAUCUAUUUGGUCUCACUUCUCUUCUCUCACUUGGUAAACCCUGGGAUCUUCUCUCAAAUAAACCACCUGCACUCACUCAUCAUACAUCUGUUCUUAAGAGAGCCACACUAAGAUGACUUCCACUAACAUAGAUGGAGGAUGUAUAGCCCAUUUCAGUGGGACACCCAGGGCCCUGCCUAUGGGAGUUGGAGUUCUAGCUUAAAUUCAAGCAGCUGAAAACACAAGAAAUAAGAAGACCAUUUUGAGAAGAGCAGAUAGUCACCUUAAGAAAAAUCCCUAUCAUACGCACUCUGGGAUUUGGACUCAAAUCCUAAUUAUACACUUUCAAAGAGCCCAGAGAUUUCCAUUUUAAUCCUUUUGGGAUGCUACAGUACUGACUGCCUUGAAACAAGUGUUCCAGAAUCUAUAGAAUAUUUUGAAGAGAUGAAGUUAACACUUUAUUUUAAAUGCAGUAAACCAGGAACUGUGAGCUAAGGAUUUAACCCAGAUUUAGCUUGACCAGCAAGCAGAGACCUACAGACUUUCAGCUACUGGGUAAGGAACUAACAGGGAACAGUGUCAGGAAGUGGCUUCCUCUUCUUCAGUGCAAUGGACCAAAUCCUGAUCCCCAACAUGAUGGAGAUGGAAGUGAGGGCCUUUGGGAGAUAAUUAGGUCAUGAGGGUAGAGGUCUCUCGUGAAUGGGAUUAGUCGCCAAAGAGCUCUCUUGCCCUCUUUCCAUCAUGUAAGGAUACACAGAGAAGAAGGAAGUCUGCAACACAGAAAAGGGACCUGACCAGAACCCAGCCAUGCUGGAACCCUGAACUCAGACUUCCAGCCUCCAGAACUGUGAGCAAUCAAUUUCUUUUGUUUAUAAGCCAUCCAGGCUAUGGCACUUUGUUACAGGUGACCAAAUGGACUAAGACACUCAUGAAUCUUCAACCUCUCCUCCUCUACUGGCGUUUUCUUUAAAGUCCGUCUAAGUCUGAGAUUCAGCAAGAUGCAGUGUCAACUAAACUGAGCAUAUGGGAGAAUGUGAUGGUUUGUUUUAUUGCUUCUAUUGUCUACAAAUCUGUUGUUUCCUUCUAGGAAUUCAGUCCAUAAAAUGAGAGGGUUUUUUUGUUUUGUUUUGUUUUGCGGUACACGGGCCUCUCACUGUUGUGGCCUCUCCCGUUGCGGAGCACAGGCUCCGGACACACAGACUCAGCGGCCAUGGCUCACGGGCCCAGCUGCUCCGCGGCAUGUGGGAUCUUCCCGGACCGGGGCACGAACCCGUGUCCCCUGCAUCGGCAGGCGGACUCUCAACCACUGCGCCACCAGGGAAGCCUUGAGAGGGUUUUUUUUUAAACCGCCAAAAGAAAGAUUUUUAAUUAAUAGAGUUUAGAAAAAUAAAAGUGCCCACUAUUAUUGUACAGGAAAUAGUAAUUAAUGCAGUAGCCUAUCAAUGCCAGCUCUUAAGUUAGUAUCCCCAGCAAGCUACAUAUAGUAUUUAUAAUUUACUUCAACUUCAUUAUUACUAUAUGUACCGAAAUUCUUAAAUUAGAGUAAUCUUAAUCUUCAUUAUAGACAACUUCAAUGUUCUAUCUUAAUAUAUAUUAUAUUUGGGAUCCAGUUUAGGCAGGUCAUGCCCCUGAGUAUGCUUAAAUGUUAUUCUAAGAUUUCUGUGAAAUAACACUGACUAAAAACAAAUCUAUAACAUUUUAUAAAGGAUGAAUUCCUACCAGUAAUUGCAUAUCAAACACAGUAUAAUUGAACCCCCAUUUACUAGAAAAUUGUUCUCCAUUGCUUUGACAACAGAAUUUGGGGACCUUCUGAAGUUCCUCUCCACCGUUUUCCCAAUAAAGUUUCAAUGAGUUUAACAGAUUGUCUAGAUCUGUAAUGAUGACUGGAAUAGGAAAUUCAGACAGCAAAAGAGGUUGCUUCUUAGGCUUACUGCCAGAUUUUGAAAACCACUAUAACAAGUCGUUUCUGCCAAGUAAGUGCAAUCUGAAUGCUGGCUAAAACAUUCUAAAAAAAUGGGAAAAAAACCCAUGCUGACUAAUAGGCGCUAAUGUGUGAAUAAUAAUUAGUGCAAUUAAGUGAGUGGUGCUGUGCGGGUGAAAUUUUCAGAAUACAAAACAUUAAUGUAGAGCUUUACAUAUAUGUAAACAAAGCUUUAAAAUGGGCCAAAGUGAGCUGUGAUAUAUGGAAAUGUUUAUGGGUCAGUAUAACAAUUGUGGAAUUUUCAUUGCAGGUAUGUUAAUCUAAGGUAUAGAAAUUCUAUGAAUGUAAAUUAGUGUUAUGACCUUAUAAAGUCCUCAGAGAUUAUGUCUAUAUCUAUACCUAUAUCUGUGGCUAUAACCCUACAAAUGGAAAACAGGUUUUGAAGUCUGACAUAAGGUGUAGUAACACUAAAUUAAUGUGCAUGCAGGGAGAUCAGCUCAGUGCUUUGUGACCACCUA